UGAGAAACCCAAAAGAUCGAAUGGGGAGAUUCAUCGUCAGCGGUGCUGGUACGUGUGCGGUUCGCGAUGACGGAGACCUCGGUCUCGCGGCACGCGUCCGUGCGUUUUAUCGCCUGGCAUCGUCGGCGUGCACUUCUCCCCUAGUAGGACGUCGCGACCCAUUGGGUGUCGGUCUACGGCCCGGGUUGGGUGCCUGUCUCGUGUGCGCCUCACGGUGUCACUGCGGGGCAGACCCCCGGCUGCCCGACCGGCUGCCCGGCGGUACUCGCAAGGUAUCCGGCCGCAAAAAUUCGAACUGCGUCCAGCCCGUCGCAAGCGAGGCAAGUGUUUCCCGAAUGUUACGGAUCUGAUGCCGUCAUCGGGCCUAGCCAGCUGUUGGCCGACGGUGUCCUAGGACUGGCUGUAACAAUUAUGA
rnacentral:rRNA from 1 species